rnacentral:lncRNA from 1 species
UGCAGUCGUCCCAGAAGCGGCUGGCCGAGAAUUUCUUGCGGAGGACGACUGUCAGCCCAUAGAUGAGACACUGCCCCACGCCGAUGAUGUUUCCUGCAGAGGGUGGCCUUGAUCAGGGCCUUAGCGCCCGAGGUGCCCAGGCAGAAGGCCAGGGGCUCGCGCCGCAGGUUCACGUUGAGCAGCGCGGCCUCCAUGCCCGCCUUGGCCAGGCCCAGCCACAGCCCCACGAACUCCGGCCGGCCCUCCAGGAAGAUGGCCACCACGUCGCCCGGCGCGAAGCCCAGCUGGCGGAAGAGGUUGGCUACCGCAUUGGAGUAGGCGUCCAGCUGCGCAAAGGUCCAGCACUCGCCGGUCCCGGCAUCCACCAGCGCCAGGCGCUCGGGCUGUCGCUGCACUACCGCCUGAAAGAUGCGCGGGAUGGUGUGGCCGGCACGCUGGUGCCGCCGCAGCUCCA